UACGAAGGGGGCUAGCGUUGUUCGGAAUUACUGGGCGUAAAGCGCGCGCAGGCGGCUAUCCAAGUCAGUGGUGAAAGCCCGGAGCUCAACUCCGGAACUGCCAUUGAAACUGUUUAGCUUGAGGAUGAGAGAGGUGAGUGGGAUUCCCAGUGUAGAGGUGAAAUUCGUAGAUAUUGGGAAGAACACCGGUGGCGAAGGCGGCUCACUGGCUCAUUACUGACGCUGAGGUGCGAAAGCGUGGGGAGCAAACAGG
rnacentral:rRNA from 1 species